UCCCUGGUGGCUGAGAUGGUAAAGCAUCUGCCUGCAAUGCAAGAGACCCGAGUUCGAUCUCUGGGUCAGGAAG
rfam:Ovis aries breed Texel chromosome 1, whole genome shotgun sequence.